UACGGAGGGUGCGAGCGUUGUCCGGAAUCAUUGGGCGUAAAGGGCGCGUAGGUGGCGGGACAAGCGUGCGGUGAAAGCCUGGGGCUCAACCCCGGGUCGGCCGUGCGAACUGUUUUGCUUGAGCACUGUAGAGGCAGGCGGAAUUCCGGGUGUAGCGGUGGAAUGCGUAGAGAUCCGGAAGAACACCGGUGGCGAAGGCGGCCUGCUGGGCAGUAGCUGACACUGAGGCGCGACAGCGUGGGGAGCGAACAGG
rnacentral:rRNA from 1 species